CCUACGGGAGGCAGCAGUGAGGAAUAUUGGGCAAUGGACGAGAGUCUGAACCAGCCAAGUAGCGUGAAGGAUGACUGCCCUAUGGGUUUUAAACUUCUUUUAUAAAGGAAUAAAACGAGGCACGUGUUCCUUUUUGCAUGUACUUUAUGAAUAAGGAUCGGCGAACUCCGUGCCAGCAGCCGCGGUAAUACGGAGGAUCCGAUCGUUAUCCGGAUUUAUUGGGUGUAAAGGGAGCGUAGAUGGGGUGUUAAGUAUGUUGGGAAAGUUUGCGGCUCAACCGUAAAAUUGCAAUUGAUACUGGCAGUCUUGAGUACAGUUGAGGUAAGCGGAAUGCGUGGUGUAGCGGUGAAAUGCUUAGAUAUCACGAAGAACCCCGAUUGCGAAGGCAGCUUACUAACCUGUGACUGACAUUGAUGCUCGAAAGUGUGGGUAUCAAACAGGAUUAGAUACCCGAGUAGUC
rnacentral:rRNA from 1 species